UAGAUAUCUUAUAACUAUUACAGUUUUUUACGAUUGCUUACACACUAAAAUGUAACUUUUCCCARAAUUAGCAAKACCUUACACUCAAGGAGCAAAACACAAGGCUAGAUUUGCACAACUGUAAGCACAUUGUCAGCUUCACACUAUUUGCAAAACAUUACACACAGUGAUUUGCAAAACACUAAACACACUUGUAUACAUCAGACACAGAAGUAUAUCAUGAUGUCACUUCCUUGCAAUUUCAAAGCACUGACUGUCAAAUUACCACACCUAUGAGCCAAUCUGUUAAACACAGCCAUCAGGUGCACAAACACAUGAUUGCUAAAUUGUAGACACACCAAUCAGGUUUAAGCACUCUAAAAAUGCAGCAGGUAGGUUCCCCUGCCUUCAACCAAAAUGGAAGGAGUCAGAAGAAGAGUGAGGGUGAGAGGAGGAGAGAAGGAGGUAGAGGAAGAGGCAGAGGCCGAGCCAGAGGUCGAGGAAGACCUGAAGCAGGAGGAGAACGUGCACAAAGAAGAAGAGGACCAAACUUAUCAAAUGACAUUCGUGCAACACUAGUGGACCAUGUUGUGAACCACGGAUUGACGCUGAGGGAGGCUGGACUGAGUUCAGCCAAAUCUUAGCAGAGCUACAGUGGCAUCUGUCAUAAGGACUUUUCGACAGGAAAACAGGAUUGAGGGUCGGGAACGACAAGGAGGAAGGGGGCCCAUAUUCACGCAAGAACAAGAGAGAGAGAUAAUGAACAUGGUUUUGGCCAAUAAUGCUAUCAGGCUCAGAGAACUACAAGCCAACAUUAU